UACGUAGGUGGCGAGCGUUGUCCGGAUUUACUGGGCGUAAAGGGUGCGUAGGCGGAUAUUUAAGUGGGAUGUGAAAUACCCGGGCUCAACUUGGGUGCUGCAUUCCAAACUGGAUAUCUAGAGUGCGGGAGAGGAGAGUGGAAUUCCUAGUGUAGCGGUGAAAUGCGUAGAGAUUAGGAAGAACACCAGUGGCGAAGGCGACUCUCUGGACCGUAACUGACGCUGAGGCACGAAAGCGUGGGGAGCAAACAGG
rnacentral:rRNA from 1 species